UUUAUUCCGGUAGGAACAAGAGCAGGUCUUGAUAGCGGCCGUGUGACUAAUUGGACGGCCGCGGUAUUUUGACCGUGCGUAGGUAGCGCUGUCGCUUGUCUUUUAAUGAGACCUGUAUGAUGGUGUACGAGAGCUGGCUGUCUGGUCCUUCGAGUCAUGAAUUGAUCUGCCGAUGCUCAGCGGAUAUAAAUGUCUAUACGAGUAGACCGUUUGAGCCUACAGCAGAUCACUAUGUUCAGCACCAGAAGUCAACUAAUAGCACGAUCGGACUUCGGUUGAGCUACUGUCAUAACAAGUCAUCGUACUGAGCCACACGACACCGCGACAUUCAGUCAGCACCGAAUUAAUCGCGGCGGAAGACGGGUACCAGUUCGUUAUCAGUUCUCCCGGUAACCCUUUGUCCCGAGAGCUUACCGUUUCGGCGUUAAAAGG
rnacentral:rRNA from 1 species